UAAAAACCCUUCCGAAACCAUAUUUCCCCCAGAUUAACCAUUUACACUGAAGUUAUUCCCCAGGACUUCCUACCCCCCAGGGCUAUGCAGGACAAAGGGACUAGAGAGCCCGGGGUGCCACAGCCAGGUGGGAGGGAGCACUUCAGCACAAAAAAAAAAAAAAAAGUAAGAUUUUAGGUACAAGCCACCAAGAAGGGACUGCAGGGUCACUAGAGGAGAGGUGUUGACGUGAACCAUGGCCAAGGAGCCUUCCCCACGUGCACCUGCAGCUCCAGGCUGGUGGUGGUCACCGCAACCCACCAGCGAUAAGAUCAGCAGCUCUGUGUACUCUCAGAAAAUUAGCAAGAUCUUGAAUUAGAAAAAAAAAAAAUAAAAAAAAAUAAAAGAAAAAAAAAAACGCAUCAGAGGGGGGCUAAGACCAGCUGUGGUAUAACAGCGGUGCCAAAGCAUGGAAGUCCACAGCUGGCUGUGCCUUUGGUUGUCCUUUGAUGGUGCAGCAGGGAUGUGGGCAGUGCAGGAGGAUGAGGAGGCUGCCUCGGAGGGACACUUGGUGUCCAACACAGCAGCUUUCAGCACUGUUUGAGGUGUAGGCAUCUCCACAAGGACUCCAGCAGGAGCCCCCAGAGACAUGUGGGCUGUAGGGGUGAGGUAAAACACUGGUGGGUGAGUGGUGCCCAUCAGAUGCUUUGGGCUUCUGAUGGACCAUCAACUGGACCUGGGCUGCACUGCCUGGACAGACGGGUUUGGGAGUCAGCAGUAGGGUCAGCAACCAACCGUCCUCCUGCAGAGAGGAAUUUUGGGUGGAAAUCUCCCCUUCCCAGGGCCUCUCUUUCUCAGCGUACCUUUUAACGAAGUCCUGAGGGAGGGAGAUCAGCCAUGAGCAUGCCACACGUUGGCCACGAAGAGAUGGACGGGAUCCUGGUGUGGGUGACAGACCCGGUGUGGGCAGGACAGCCAGCCUGGAGCUGUGGUCCCCUUGCAGAUGCCCCCAUGAGGUCCCCAUGCCCCUCAGGAGGCUGGGGAUGCUGUUUGGGGUGUACCUGAGGCUCCCCCCUGUGCUCUGCACCUCCACGAUGAGCACCAGGUUACCACAAAGGCUGCAGCUCCCACCUAGCACCCUACAAAAUGGUUAUGGUUAUAUGGUUAUGUGUAUGGUUAUCACAGUUAUAGGAAAACUUUUCUGGGGGGAGGAUUUUAUUCAUUCGCAGUUGCUUGUGCUCCAUGGCUGGAAGAGCUCGGCACCACCUGCAGAUCAGCCCCUUUUUGUGCCCCCUUUGCGUCAUUUUUCCCAGCCCAAAGCCCUCCCCGCGGGGGGAGGACGGCGGCCUGGAUCCCAGCCCAGCUCCGCAUCUGCACAAACAGGACGAGGUUUGACAGGGCUCAGCCGUUCCCUAAAAUAACAUCCCUACCCUGUGUUUUAACCUUUCGCAAAACACAGCCCCGGCCAUUUCCAGACAGCAAGGGAGGAAUUGCAGGCUCGGGUCAUUUUCCGUGGCUCGGGGGAGUUUUGUUUUCUCCAGGGCUGCCUGAGAAAAGCUGCUCGUCUGGGGGCUGUCAGCAUUGGCUCAGCUCGUGGCGAUCUGCAGCCCCGGGGUCAGCGGGGAAACCAUUCCUGGCUUGCGUUUUGGGGGCCCAACCCUGCUGCAGGGUGAGGAUGGAGGCGUUUUAGGGCAUCCCAGACAGAACUGGCCUUGGGGAGCACACAUCGGAGACACAGUGCGGAGCUGGGGGCAGGGUAAAGGGAAAAAAUAAUCCAGAAUAAGUGGUUUUAGACUCAAGACAGAGCCAGGAGCUCGGAUCUCUGUGCGCCUGGUGUUGGUGCUUGUGGUUUUGAGCUGAGUGUGUGCUGGCAGGUCCAGAUUGCUCCAAAGCAGCCCAAGCCUCGAGGCGUGGGCAUCGAUGGGCUCCAUCCACUGUGCCAGAUGCGUGCCAGGAUCUAGGUGCUGGGGUUUGGUUCUAGGUUAUAAGCAACAGUAUCUGUAACUUGGGUGUCCUCAUGGGUUUCCUGAUCUGGUUUUGUUGUGAGGAGAGCAGAAGCACCCCUGGUUUCCUCCAUGCACCUUGCCAGCCCUGGUACCAAGGGGUUUCUUACCAUGCAGCCUGCGAGGUCCACCGCAUGCAGGUAGCCCACCAGCAUGCAGACAGCCAACCCAAAUUGCACCAGCAGCAAAGCAGAACUGAAUUUACUCAUUAAACACCAAAUUGCACAAAGAGGGGGUCGAUUUUCCCAGGGCGAGCUGGCGGAGCCACUGCACCCCCCUCUUCACUGGGCUCAUCAGCCUCCUGAGCAUCCCGGGAUGAGCUCAGGAGCACACACAGCAAAUGGCUGGGGAAAAUACAAAAUAAAAAAUAAUAAAUAGCUAAAAUAAUUAAUUAAUUAAAAAAACAACGCCCAAGCUGAUAACACCAGCCCACAAGCAUCACACUCUGCAGUUGCAGUCGCACAAACGCCCUCCGCCCACUCCCCAUCGCUCGCUGCCCUUUGGAGGUUUCCUGCCUGAAACGGUCCCCGCUAGGCUUGGCUGCAGCUCAUACAGGAACUACACCCUCAUCUUCUGAGCGAGGCUUUGCAGCUGAGAAAUGUCGUCUAGCUGAACUCAGAUGUCAGCAGAUGCACAGCUGGCUCGUUGCUCCCAGAGCAGCUCGCUGCCGGCGCAGCACGAUGCACGUACAGCGUGGGGCACCCCAAAAGCAAGGGGACUGGGAGCUCACUGAAGAAGCUGAGAAGUUGUCCUGCACACCUGAGUGCAAAAUGGGCCAAAAGUGAGCAAAUAAAGCUGAGAAAAGGCCUGUGCUCUGCGUUGGUGGGACGAUGCAAUGCCAGGUCGCGACGUAUUUGCAGCAUCCUCGGUGGAGGGAGAGGUGGGUGUGCUGCUCUCAGCCUGGUGCUGGGACUGCAGUGCCCUGCCUGCCUUGGGCUGCUGAGCUGAGAAAGAUGUUGAGGAGCUGGAGGAAGUCCAGAGGAGAAGUACGAGUGAUAAAAUGAGGUUUAGUAACCAUAGCUUAUUAGGAAAUGCUGGAGGAGCGGGGUUUGUUUAGUCUAGAAAGGAGAAGAUGUGAACUGCCGCAGUUCAUCAUCAGGCAGCAUUUAAUUAUAAGAUGGACGCUAAUCAGUUUUAAUGCAGGGUCACGGGAGAAAGGCCAAGAAUAGAAACACUGAGGUCACUACGGAGGAGCGGCUGGGCAUCACUAAGCAUUUUCUGUCCGCUGCAGCAGUGACGGGCAGCACCAGAGAGGCAGGUCCCUGGGGAGGGCACACGGCUCCUUUUUGGGGACAAGCACCCAGCAGAGGUGAUCCCUAGGAUCCCAGCAUCCAGGAGCAGGGAAAGGGAAGGGGAAUCCACCCAUCCACUCCCUCUUCUCAGCAGCCCCGUGCUGAUGGGUGGGCACGGGGAUCAGACCACCUUGGAGCCCCACGAGGAGCAGACGCUGCGCUCUCGUUUCCGUCCCAGCCUUAUCUCUCAUCUUUCUGUUUUACAUCACCUUCCCUUCCCCGGCUCUGCCAGCACCUCCCUGCACACCCCCGUGCUGCUGCUGCCUAGGAGGUCUUCUCCUGAAACCCAUCUCCACCCACGGCCCUAUCUGAGCUGGCAUCUCCUUGGCUGCCUGCAGAGGUGGGGGAAAUGUGCAGAUUUAGGCACCCUUAUCUUUUUUCCUGGCCAUCCCACCAGGAUAUUCGUACCAAUGCCUGCCCUCACCUACCUGCACAGCCAGCAAGGAACCAUCAUCCAGCUGUGCUUCACCAUUUAUACCAUUUUACAUCUCAUCUGAAACAAAAUCCAGUGGGUUUUGUUGGUUUUUUUUGUUUGUUUGUUGGUUUUCUUCUGAAGACUAGAGUCAAAUAAAAUUUAAAAAAAAAAAUAUCAAGCCAUUAUUUAAAUAAUCGGAGGCUGGGAGCUCAGUGACACCGAUUUAAAGGGAUUUAGCUCCAACCUCAAAGCCUGGCGGGGCUGCAAUUUUCUGAUUAAUUCUCCCAUAAACAAUGGGAGGGGAGGGGGGAAGCCUUGCUCCUGUUCCUGCUAAAGCUUGGGUUCGGGAUCACCAGUGCUCUGGUUGCUCAGGGUGCCUCCCCUGGGCUAUGGGGUCGGUGUUAGGACCCCAUAUACCAGAAGCCUUCAGUACAGGGCAUGGGGUUAACAAAUUUUCUGCACCAGGUAAUACUUGAUGAUGGGAGCAGAUCUGGGAAAUGCUGCUUGUGCUUAAGGAACCAGAGAAAAUAUUUUAAAAUUACUGAUAGAGCUGUAGAAGAGGGGUGGCUUUUCCCCCAUCACCUGCCCCUUCUCUGCCCCCGGCAGGUCCCCUGCCCAUCCCCACCAGGCUGCACCACCCUCGUCAAAUUACUGCUCCUGUCUCAGAACAUGGGCUCAGCCCUGGCCGGAUCCAGUAAUCACAUCAGAUCUGAAGGACGUUAAGGGAAAACCGAAAAGCUUUCUAAUAAUGAACAAGCCCAGGGGGAUUAAGCGCCCGGGCCCAUCUAGCGAUGAUACAUGGGCAGGCUGAAAACGCAAACUAUUACAUUAGGGAGCAAGACCGGAGAGGAUUUAUCAGCCUGGCUCCGUGUCCUGCUUCUGGCAGUGCCUGGCAGAGAUGUUUCAGCCCAAGGUGGAAGAAACCCCAGGACACAGCUGUCUGGUCUGUGCUUGCCUGCUCGGGGGGAUUCCCCCAAACCUCGGUGUGCGGCGAUGCCCCAAACCCCUGAGCAUCGUGGUUUCCAUCUCUUAUCACCUCCAACCUUAUCUCACCUAAUUUUGGAAGGGGAUAUUUCUGUAUUUCUUAAAGUGGGCUUUCCAUUAAAACCCUGUGUUUUUAUGAUUGUAGCAAAGCUUCAAUUGGCUUUCUCUUUCCUUUUUCUUCUUGACUCCCCUGUCGCACCCCCCUCAUUGUAAAAACCUUCAUGCCUUUCAUGAAGGGCUUUGGGCAGACAUUAAUCUUUUCUGUCUGUCCCUAGGGGAAGUGGCCAGCACCAAAAUGAGAGCCCAAGCCUAUUUCCUAAGGUUUUAAUUUUAUAUUUUCUGUGGUUUCUCAUCCCCCUGCCCAACGCAGCCUGCUGUCUGUGCUGAACAAGCAUUUCUUCGUCUGCCCAGCGCAGCACUGGGGUCUUGCCUUAUUUUCCUUUCCCCUCCUGAAUCUCUAAGGCUGAUUUAAAACCCACCAAGGUGCAUGAAAAGCUCAAGCGAUGCCUUCUCACACACAUUGCUUUUUACUGCUCAGCGUCUCAAUUAACCUGCCGGCAGGCUCUUCAUUAGCGCGCCUUCGUUAAGUCCCCGUGCAGCUUCCCUGGCCUCGGCCAGCUGAUAUUAUUCUCGGUUCUCUGCAAAAUUUUUCCACUUGACUGUUCACCCUUUCUCCUGCAUCGUUAAUAAAAGAUUUUCAUCCCAAGAUGGACUCUCAGGGAUGUCCUAUUAUUAUAUUAUUUAUAUGUUGAGAAUGAACUCUUGAUUCCAUUUCUUCUUUUCUCCAUCUUAUUAAGCUUUUAAUACACUGUGGAAGCUAGACAAUCCCCCUUUGGCUAUUGAGUUUCCUUAAAAGCCUCUUUGAUGGCCUUUAUCAAAAAGCACUCAGGAAAAUGUAUUAACUGUUCUCCAUUAUCCACUAUUUUGUUGACUUAACGUAAGACGAAUAUUUUUUCCCCCUGCAUAUUAGGAGCACGCAGGCGGUUUUUAAUUCUGCCUUUAAUUAUCGUUGUGAUUUGCCUGCUAUGUACCAAGGUAGUUACAAUUCCUAAAUGGAGCCUUGCAAACACGCUCAGGUGAGCCAUGUAUUGCUGAAAAAAUGCAGGUUUGGGGUUAAUUAAGACUAGUUGCGAAUACAUCAAAAAUACAAGAAACAGUGAUGAAAGAAUUUUUUGUCAUGUAAAAAACACAUUUCCUUCUACAGCUUUAAAUGAAGAAUUUUAUUCCCUUCUUUUCAAAUAAUAUAUCAAGAUUAAGUGUAAUUUUAACCUGCCUCUCCACAUUUUAUUAACUUGUUUCUAGGGAAUAUUGCUUUUCAGUAGCAACCAGCUAAAACCAGAGAGAGAGAAAUGUUUUGUUUCAGCUCACUAUUCUUCUGAAAGGAAACCAAAUGAAUUAACAAUCCAUCUGGGGCUCUUUCAUAGGCAUCGCCCUCCUGCCCAGCAAGCACAAAAUUCCUACAGCUUUUUAGGGAUGAAAACCAGCGGCUGUCCUCCAGGGCUCCCUCCUAAGGAGGGAUUUCAGUGAGAAAGCACCAAAGUGUCCCAGGGGGCUGGGCUGGGGGCAGGUUCACCUGCUCAGAGAUCUUCCUCAUCCCAGGGCAGUAGCCCAUUACCUUGCCCCUGUUCCUACUGAACAACUUUGGAAAACAUUUUCCCUUCAAAAAAUGGUCAGAUUUUGUUGGUACAAGGGCAUCUCUUCAAGCAGAACGGUAGAUGGGUUUGUGCUGACCCUUUUCCCAGGUUAAGGUGGGGGUCUCAGCUUACUUGUCCUUUCGAAGCAGCAUGAAAUGCUCUGGAGGGAUGCAGCAGGGUGUCUACCAGAGGCACUCCAAGACAAUUCAGGUUAAACCUGGCUGGGUUCAUGGCACACGCCCAGGGGAAAUUCUCUGGACAUCAUUUUUCAUGCGAUGGGUGCUCUCCCUUUCCCUGUAUACCUCCUCCAGGGGUGUGCUUGUGUGAAGGGACGUCACCAGAAACUCAUCAUGGUGUAGUAUAAAACCAUCCCCACACCUUCUCCUUUUCUUCUAGGUCCUGUUGUGCGAGGCCAGCUCUCCAGGCAGCUCUCCAGGCACAGCAGCCUCCCAGGUAGUUCCUGGCUUAGCCUGCCUGUUCCUGAGCCUUCAGAAAUAGAGCAGAGCCCCAAAAAACACAUGUCUUCCUCAGAGCCCAUCCUGGACCUCAAGACAGAUGCAGCAGAAGCCCUUCCAGCCCGCAGCGACACUGGGGAGCCCAGGCAGGGCCAGGAGACGAGGCAGGACCCCCCCAGCCCCAGCGGUGGGUACAACGCUGCAUCCCCCAGCACCAGCAGCCACGGCGAGCCCAGUCCCACUCCAUCCACGAGUGAGAGCAUCCCAAAAGACCCCAGGUCGGGACAGGAUGACCCCAGCCCUCCUGGCUCCACACCUCAGCCAGAAGCCCCCGAGGAGUGCCCCGCUCGCCCCAACACCUUGGACUUCUCCAAGCCCCUGAAGAAGCUGGAGGAGGUGAAGGAGAUGGGGCAGAGGUGUAACAGCGACCAUGCAACGGUGAAGGAGAACGGGGUGGGGGGCAGCCCCGUGGCCGCGGGGCUGAGCGAGGAGAGGAAGGCGCUGGAGUCGGAGCUGGGGAAGUGCAUCGAGGACUUCCGAAAGAUCAAGAUCCCCCUCGCCUUCCCCAACAAGAAGCGGCAGUGGCAGAGUGAGCUGCUGAGGAAAUACCAGCUGUGAGAGGAGAGCUCGUCCUUCUCUCCGCUCGUGUGCGUGGGUGGCCGGGGAUACCCACAGGCCUGAGCAAGGAGCGUAGGUUGCUCCUUCAGCCCCAUCCAGUGAGCAAAAGGGUUGUAAGCCUAUACCCACGACAACAUGCUCCUCACCGUGGCCAUCAGGAGGGACGUGUGAUGUCCCAAGGGGCACAAACAUAGCUGCAGGGACACAGAAAAAGGAAGGAGGCCUGGGGUGAAUUGUCAGGGCCAAAGCUGCCAUCCAGCAGAAGCUCUCGUGUUUGUAAGAAUGAAUUCUUGUGGCGUUUCAAGUAAUAAACUAUAGUUGGUGUCAAAAACAAAUUCCAGUCUCCUUGUCUCUUCAGCACAGAUGUUUGAGCUUAGCUGCUCAAAGCUGUGCAAGCAGCUUAGAUGUUCGCUUUUCUUUAAAUUAAUGGAAGUCGUGCAUCUGACUCCCUUACGUUCCUGGCAAAACUUCUCCGUCUGUAACAUUUGCAACUGGAGGGCUGGGAUUCAGCAAAAUCUUUCUUUGUGAUGUUUCAGCAGAUAUUUUCCUUUUCCUAGACAAAUACUUGAACGCCGCCCAGCCUCGCGCUGGGGCCUCCAGCCAGAGGGAGGGCCCAGCACAAGGCCAAUAUUGACCAGAAGCUCUUGGCUUCUCCUUGCCUUCAGGAGCUGUUGGCUGGACGAGGAACCCAACGUUGCAGUUCGGGUGUAUGGGGCUCCUCCACGGGAUGGGGGACUGGGUGAGCGCCCCAAGGAUGGGCCAGGGAGGGUGGCUUUGGGCUGGGGGCAGGUUACAGGCCAACCCCAUCAGGGUGAGGACAGGCACGAGGCCUGUAAACAACUUGAGGAAACAUCUGGGUGAUGAACCCUGCUCUUGUGAGGUCUGCUGGAAGGACAACGGAUUGGGAUGCAAGCACUCCUAGGAGAUUUCUGGAGGAUCUUGUGGAUAAUUUUGUGACCGGAUGGGCCAAUUGUAUGAUGUGCAGCUGGAUCUGCUGUUCACUGACAGAGACCUGGAUGGGGCUCACAUGUUCAAUGGCAACUUUGGCCCUAGUGACCCAAAACAGUGAAUUUUGAGAAUCUGAAAGGUAAGCAAGGAAGGUGAGUAGCAGAGCAGAGCCCUUGGCUGACCUGAGAUGUCCCCUGUCACCCUCAGGAGUCCUGCCAGGCAGUGCCCCCUCUCUGGCAGCCUGCUGCCCCCAGCACCAGCCUGGUCCCCCAGAAGCUCAGAGAACCACCUCCUGCUCCAGCUGUGACCUCCAAAAAGCUCCACAGAUGAAGAAUAAGGGAGCAAUCCCCAGCCCUGCCACCCCAACACAAGCCACAGAGGAGUUUCAGCGAGGUUUCUUAGAUUAAACAAAAAUAACCCAGUGAAAAACUCGCCUGAGUGUUUGCUGUGGCGAGGUUUUGUCGGGAGGAAUUGCUUUGGCCUCUCAGGGGGAGGCAGAUGGGGAGGACAGAUCUGCAUUCUUCUUCCUUUUAUAUGCAGUCACGCUACAGAAGUGUUUACAGGAACUUGGAGAGCCAGAGCAGCACGAGAUAAGGCUGGGGCAGAGACAGAAAAAAAAAUCAAUAAAGGCAGGGGGGGACCACACCAUCCCAGGCCCCUUGCACACCAUCCCCAGGAGACAGGAGUGUGCAAGAGCAUGAGGGGUUGGAUGGGGUUGAGUCGGUGGUCCACUGGGGCUGGUGCCAAAACCAGUUGCCAAACAUCCCACCAUCUGAUCUGACGACUGAAGACAGCCCCGUCUUGGUCAGUUUUGACUUCUUGACUUGGGUAUCACAGCUACUGCCCUGAAGACGUGCUUCAGCCAUCCCAGGUUCUUCCACAUGCCUUGAUCAGCCUCCAGUUGUGAGAAGUGCCAGUUCUGCCCCAAAAUUAUUCCUCAGUGGUUGGGGCAGACUGGCGUUUGGGAAGGAAGGAGAUGCUUGUUCUUGGCAGAAACCCUUGGAUGUCCUUCGUCCUCCUUCCUGGUGUUCUUUGAUGGUAUCCAUCAUGCCUGCAGUCGCUGCUUUAAUUACAAAUGCUAAGAAGUGAAAGAAUUUGCCCAUCUUAGCACAAGGCAGCUCUGCACACACAAAAAAAAAGAUCAAUAAACUGCUCUUAAACUGGGCCCCAGCCCACACAAGUGACCUUUUGAGAGGAUUUGGAGGGAGGUUGUGGCACAACAGGAACCCUGCCUGGGGAACAAUGAUGAAGAACAGCCAGCACUGUUGGAUCCACAGGGAGAGUCAUGUUGUGUCCUCGCUCCAGAGGUGGGAUUUGCCCUGGGAACUGCACGAGGUGGGCUUUAAAGCAUUUUGGGACCUCCAGGAUGAUGAGUGGUGUCCAUGAGCUGAUGGAUGAGCCUUCUGCCUACGGCAGGGGGUGCAGUGGAGGGACUGGGGAGCCCCUUCCCAGGCACGGAGCAGGGCAUGGGCACCAGCCCCACAAUAGGAUGUGAACAGUGGUUCCCAGCAGAACUGGCCCCAUUUUGCUCUGCGUGUCUUCAAAAACCACACCUGGAGCAUUUUCACCCUGAACUAAGCCUCAGCAGAGAUCAUUGUUCUGGGUAUUGUGUAACCAGGUAGACUGGGGCUUUUAGGUUUAUUUUACAUAACCAGUUCUAUUUUUAACUUAAUCUGCAAUUAAUUAGAAAGUGGAGCUUGCUGGAUCUGUAAUUAGAGUUUCCAUUUCCACAUUACCUUCCAUCCCAGAGGUCUCAGGAAAGUGUGUAGGCUCCACCACGUCCAUCCUGUACACCUCCACUGGAGGAAAAAAAAAAAAAAAGAAAAAAAAAAAAAAAGGUUCAUCCAAAACAACCCAAAAAUGCUGAGAGAUCAGUGACUACAGGUGCAUCUCACACACGCUGGCAUGAACACACACAUGCUCUCAGAAACACACACAGGACGGAAUGACAAAGAAAUGGUUAACCAUACCAGCUCAUAGGCUUUAAUUUUGCAGUGGAAAUUCCCUUGGCCUUCCUCCACCCCAGAGCUUCCUUGCAUCCUGGUCCUGUUACCCAAGUGGGGCUGAAAUGAGUGAAGGAAUUAGAAUGGAAAAAAUUGGUUCUAUAGGAGUGCAGGAAAAUAAUGAAAGCACAAUGCAUUUAAGGAGCCAGUGUAAAGGAACAGUAAAUUAUUAAUAGUGCCAUUACAUUCCUGGGCUAAACAAUUAGAUCCAGCAAGCAAUUCCUCCAGAGGAGGCAUCAGCAAUCAACCCGUGAAAAGCCAAUUUGCAUUUUUCCCCCUUAACUGUUUUGCAGUUCUCAGCUGGAAGUACAAAUUCGGAACAAAACCGGCUUAGGGCUUUUUAGGGAAAACCUAUUGCAGGCUGUUGGGGAACAAAGGCACCACAAUUUCUGGCAAUGUUCACGUUGUAUCUCUUCAGAUGCAGCAGCGUGGCAGGGGCACUUCUGCACCACGGCUGCCUGCUACUGGAAGAGCCAGCCGCGGCUGGGUUCGCUGUUCGGCUCAAGAAAUCCAUUUUCAUUUGUCUUCAUGUCACAGGAAAUUUGCAUUUUUUCCAUGCUCUGCUCCAAAGCCAAGAGGAGAUGAGGGCUGUUUUCCACCAGAAAGGAUGCUCCUGGAUGUCAGUGGCAGCAAUCUCAAGUGUGCUGGGGGGAAAAGCCUGGCUCGCCCUGGACAAAGGUCUGGAAAUGGGGUCCUGGAGAAUCCGAGAGCUCUGGGACAUGAUCAGUCUCCUGCCAAGGGAACAAACAUCUCAGCUUCUCCUCUAUUUAUUUUCCACAAAUGCCUCAGCUUUGCUUGAGCAGCAGGAAGCCAUUAAUUACCCAGUGACAGUGUUCCACAGGCAUCCCUUAAUUGAAUGCCAUUAUCCCUUAAUUAAUUAAAUACCAAUUAAUUACCAGGAACAUUGCAUGACAUGUAACAAAUGCCAUCAGCUAGUUGAGACAGAAUAAUUUAAAACCUGGGAAGCACGGCCCAAAUAAUAAUGCUCAGGACGGGGCCAGCAGGGAAAACACAGUGCUCCAGGCACCAGAUCCUCCGAGGUGUGGUGGGAUGGGCCUGGCAGAGCCCUUGGGACCAGAAAACUGGAGGGGCUUCUGCUAUUCAAGCAGGCUUCAAAGCUGGUCCUGGAUGGGGUUGAACUGCAUUGGUUUUACCAUGGGUCCUGGGAACACCCUUCAGAAAACACCACAGUCGACCACUCAGCCCUGCAAAAGUGAUGUGGAGGUUUCCCAGGCUGCCUCAGAAACUCAGGCACACGCGAUUUAAUAUACAUACAUGUAAUAAAUUGUUGGUAUUGGCAGCAGAGAGGGGUGGCAUGGAACCAGCUGCCCCGGAGCACCAACCCAGUCCCACCAGUGCGGAGCUGGCAGGCUCCCAGCACAGCCCGGAGAUGCUGCAGUGUUUGGGUUUUGAGAUGCUGGGGAUCGAUACCACUGAGCACAGCCACUGGCUGCACCGUAUAUAAGUUGAAGCCAAGAUUUUUUGAAUCUUUUCCCCAUCCCAAAGCUACCAAAGAGCCACCACAGAUGCUGCCCCCACCGGGUGAAGAGCCACAGGCACGGCAGGGACAUUUUAGGGGGGGCGGUGAUAAUGGUUAGGAGUGGGGAAACUUGGAAAUGCUCAUUAUCAUUUCAAACACCCAAGUAUCUGAUCAAAUAAGUCAUUGUGCAGCCAGCAAGGAGGAAAAAAAAAAAAAGCUUGCUUUGGUUUAAUGCAUACAAUGAUUUAAUUGACAUAAUGAUCCCGAUGCUCCACCAAAGGAAUGCUGCAGCCUGAGUUAUGUCAAAUAAACUCGUUUUUCCUCUUCGGCAAUUAAAAUGAUCUAUGUCUAUUUUCCAAGCACCACGAGAUUGGGAUCGAUGAACUUUGCAGAAACCUCACAUCAGUCAGAAAGGAGCGUGGCGUUAAAAGGAAAAGUUGCACCCACCGGUGGGUAACGGGGCAGGCGGGAGGCAGGAUCCGUGUGGAAGGAUGGAUGGGGCUUGUGAGCAGAGAAGGGGGAGAGAGAUCGUCUUCUGCUCAGCUGAGACUAAAUCACUCAGUUCCGAUGAUAUUAACACCCAGAAAACCCACCGGGACUCUGCCUACACGAGGAAAACGUAUUACAGUCUAUAACUAACCCCCAUUAGUUACAGGCAGCGCCAGCCUAAGCGCUGCGGGGAAAUUAAGCUGCUCCUCUGUUUGUUUAAUGCUUUUCUCCACGCUCUCUUAUUAGACAUCAACAGCUCUGAUCCCCUGGGACCCACCUCACCUGGCCAAGGCUGGUGCUUCCAACUAUUUCUAACGCUGGGUUUUAUUCUAACCCUAGAUUUUUUUUAUCCCAAAACGUGCUGGGAGCUGGGGGCCAGGAGCGGCUGCCUGGUGGCACCAGGGAGCGGGCACAGACCUCAGGGACAUCCCUGCGGGGACCCGAGAGCCCUGUCCUGCUGCUGCAGAGCUGGAAAUUGGGAACGUGAGGGGCUUUUGGGUAGCCCUCGUGUUUGUCAUGACUGAGAGCAUCCAGAGGGACCUGCAGGGGACUGGCCACAGACCCCAUGGAUAGCAGACACAUCGCUGAGGACAACCCAAGACCCAGCUCUUAGCUAAAUCUCGUUAUUUGCCAGCUAGUGCUGUGUAAUUUUGCAGUAAUUACACAUUACCCACAGGAACGGGAGGCAAAUUACAGUGAGGAGAUGCAGCAGGACCCACGUGCCACCCAAGAUGCAGAAACAGCCGCACACGGUGCCUGCCCUGUAAUUCGAUAAAACCUGCUCAGGGGAUGAGGCAGCAUUUAUUGUGCAGUUAGUCCUCAAGAAAAAGCAACCAGGGUGUUUCCUGCACGAUGGUUUUCCACCAGAGAGGCGGGAGGGCCAGGGAAGAUGGAACAUCUUGUAAAAAGUCACUGAGAGGGAGGAAAA